rnacentral:lncRNA from 1 species
CGGGUGCUUCAACCGGUGGGUCGGCCUUCUCUUCUUCCUUGACUUCAACGGGUGCGGGUGCUUCAGUUUCGACUUUUACUUCAGUUUCAGCAGCAGAGGUGGCAGGUUGGUCUUCCUCUUUCUUUUCCUCGGGAGCUGGUUUAUCUUUAUCUUUGGCAGGAGGGGGUGUGAAUUCGUGCUUGUUAAGGGCUUCUUGAAUAAGUUGCUUAAGCUCAUCAAGAGCCUUCUUUUGUGGGUCAGGAAGUUCACCGGCUAUAUUGGUUUCUUCUUUGAAAGAAGCAGACUCAGUUACCUUAGUGUCCUUAGCUUCAACCUUAGGCUCCUCCUCAACAGCCUCAGCAGGUUUGUCUUCAACAACAGCAUCAGCAGGCUUCUCGGGAGCAUCCUCCUGUUCACUCUCUUUCUCCACCACCACUUCCUCAGUAGGAGCAGGGGCUGCAGCAGCUUCAGGCUUUUGAGUCUCCUCAGCCAUGGAUGAGAUUGUAAACGAGAAAGAAAAAGAAAUGAAAAUGCAGAG